rnacentral:rRNA from 1 species
GGAUUCCCCUAGUAACGGCGAGUGAAGAGGGAAGAGCCCAAGAUUGAAAGCUGGCGCCUUCGGCGUCCGCAUUGUAAUCUCAAGAAGUGUUUUCCGCUUCGGACCAUGCCUAAGUCCCUUGGAAAAGGGCAUCAUAGAGGGUGAUAAUCCCGUACAUGGCAUGGAGCGCCCGAAGCUUUGUGAUACGCUUUCUAAGAGUCGAGUUGUUUGGGAAUGCAGCUCAAAAUGGGUGGUAAAUGCCAUCUAAGGCUAAAUAUUGGGGAGAGACCGAUAGCGAACAAGUACAGUGAUGGAAAGAUGAAAAGAACUUUGAAAAGAGAGUUAAACAGUACGUGAAAUUGCCAAAAGGGAAGGGUAGGAGGUCAGAGAUGCGUCGCAGGAUUCAACCUUGCUUUUGCUUGGUGUUUUUCCUGCGUUGCAGGCCAACGUCGGUUUUGGGCACUGGAGAAGGGUAGGAGGAACGUGGCACCUCUCGGGGUGUGUUAUAGCCUCCUACUGGAUACAGCGACCGAGACCGAGGAACGCAGCGUACUCGUAAGAGCGGGCCUUUUGGCACCUUUACGCUUAGGGCGUUGGCAUAAUGGCCCUCUACCACCCGUCUUGAACACGGACCA